rnacentral:misc_RNA from 1 species
AGAGCUGAUAAAACAGCUGAGAUGAAUGUAAAAGCAGAUACAACUUCAGUGUGUUCUCGAUUUCCACAUGGUACUUCCCACACAGGGUGAGUAUCAAUUGAUUCAGCAUUCUGUUUGUCAAGCAGAAACAAACAGCCCGUGUCAUCUUCUUUUCUUUUAAUGUUGCAGCGCAGAAAUAAGUCAGGUGAAGCAAAUUGAACUCUUGAGAAUCCAUGUCCUAGUGGCUGAUAGCGUGCAUGUAGAGGAAGUUCCAUGUGUAUUUCCAGUUCAUCCUUUUGUUGUGAUGUUAAAUUGGUACCCACUUCCAGAUGAACCUCAACAAGCGAGCGGUUUGACAGAAAAGAAGGCAACUCUAAAUUUGUAUCUCCAAAUACGGCAGCAUCCCUGAAAACUACAACAAAACGUGGACAACAACAAGCCUCAAAAUGACGGGUAGCAGUGUUAGAAACCCAUAAAAUCUA